AGGACGAACGCUGGCGGCGUGCUUAAUACAUGCAAGUCAACUUGACUUUAGAUAGCAAUAUCGAAAGUAGGGUGGCGCACGGGUGCGUAACGCGUAGGUAAUCUGCCCUGAGGUCUGACAUAACCCGUCGAAAGGCGGGCUAACAUCAGAUGAUAUAUAAUCACGACAUCGUGGAAAUAUCAAAUCUUCGGAGCCUUGGGAUGAGCCUGCGUCUGAUUAGGUAGUUGGCGGAGUAAUAGCCCACCAAGCCUACGAUCAGUAGCUGGUCUGAGAGGAUGAUCAGCCACACUGGAACUGAGACACGGUCCAGACUCCUACGGGAGGCAGCAGUAAGGAAUAUUGCUCAAUGGGGGAAACCCUGAAGCAGCAACGCCGCGUGAAGGAUGAAAUACUUUGUAUGUAAACUUCUGUAAGAUGGGAAAAAUAUUCUCCUCGGGAGAAUUGAUUGUACCAUCAGAGUAAGCCCCGGCUAACUAGGUG
rnacentral:rRNA from 1 species